rnacentral:rRNA from 1 species
GACGAACGCUGGCGGCGUGCCUAAUACAUGCAAGUUGAGCGCUGAAGGUUGGUACUUGUACCAACUGGAUGAGCAGCGAACGGGUGAGUAACGCGUGGGGAAUCUGCCUUUGAGCGGGGGACAACAUUUGGAAACGAAUGCUAAUACCGCAUAAAAACUUUAAACACAAGUUUUAAGUUUGAAAGAUGCAAUUGCAUCACUCAAAGAUGAUCCCGCGUUGUAUUAGCUAGUUGGUGAGGUAAAGGCUCACCAAGGCGAUGAUACAUAGCCGACCUGAGAGGGUGAUCGGCCACAUUGGGACUGAGACACGGCCCAAACUCCUACGGGAGGCAGCAGUAGGGAAUCUUCGGCAAGGGACGAAAGUCUUACCGAGCAACGCCGCGUGAGUGAAGAAGGUUUUCGGAUCGUAAAACUCUGUUGGUAGAGAAGAACGUUGGUGAGAGUGGAAAGCUCAUCAAGUGACGGUAACUACCCAGAAAGGGACGGCUAACUACGUG